rnacentral:rRNA from 1 species
AGCAGCCGCGGUAAUUCCAGCUCCAAUAGCGUAUAUUAAAGUUGUUGCAGUUAAAAAGCUCGUAGUUGAAUUUCGGGAUCAAUAUAUUGGUCAUGCUUAGGUAUGUACUGGUAUUAUUGAUUUCUCCCUUCUGAAGAACCAUAAUGUCAUUAAUUUGAUGUCAUGGGGAAUCAGGACUGUUACUUUGAAAAAAUUAGAGUGUUUAAAGCAGGCUUUCGCUUGAAUACAUUAGCAUGGAAUAAUGAAAUAGGACGUUUGAUUCUAUUUUGUUGGUUUCUAGGAUCGACGUAAUGAUUAAUAGGGAUAGUUGGGGGCAUUAGUAUUCAAUUGUCAGAGGUGAAAUUCUUGGAUUUAUUGAAGACUAACUACUGCGAAAGCAUUUGCCAAGGAUGUUUUCAUUAAUCAAGAACGAAAGUUAGGGGAUCGAAGACGAUCAGAUACCGUCGUAGUCUUAACCAUAAACUAUGCCGACUAGGGAUCGGAUGAUGUUAAUUUUUAAUGACUCU